AUUGAACGCUGGCGGCAGGCCUAACACAUGCAAGUCGAGCGCGAAAGUCUUCGGAUGAGUAAAGCGGCGAACGGGUGAGUAAUGCAUGGGAAUCUGCCUGGUAGUGGGGGACAACGUCUCGAAAGGGACGCUAAUACCGCAUACGCCCUACGGGGGAAAGGGGGGAUCUUCGGACCUCUCGCUAUCAGAUGAGCCCAUGUCAGAUUAGCUAGUUGGUGAGGUAAAGGCUCACCAAGGCGACGAUCUGUAACUGGUCUGAGAGGAUGAUCAGUCACACUGGAACUGAGACACGGUCCAGACUCCUACGGGAGCAGCAGUGGGGAAUAUUGCGCAAUGGGCGAAAGCCUGACGCAGCGACGCCGCGUGGGUGAUGAA
rnacentral:rRNA from 1 species